rnacentral:rRNA from 1 species
UGCAGAGGUCUCAAGCGUUGUUCGGAAUUACUGGGCGUAAAGGGCGCGUAGGCGGUCUUCUAAGUCUUGUGUGAAAUCCCUCGGCUCAACUGAGGAACUGCACGGGAUACUGGAAGACUUGAGUUCGGGAGAGGGAAGCGGAAUUCCGGGUGUAGCGGUGAAAUGCGUAGAUAUCCGGAGGAACACCGGUGGCGAAGGCGGCUUCCUGGACCGAUCACUGACGCUGAGGCGCGAAAGCUAGGGGAGCAAACGGG